AGAGUUUGAUCAUGGCUCAGGAUUAACGCUGGCGGCGUGCAUGAAACAUGCAAGUCGAGCGCGGGAUAUCGGCUUCGGUUGAUAUCUCUAGCGGCGCACGGGUGAGUAACACGUGAGCAAUCUACCUUCAAGUUCGGGAUAGCUCUGGGAAACCAGGAUUAAUACCGGAUGUGGUCACGAGGAGACAUCUUCUUGUGAGUAAAGGGGCAACCCGCUUGAUGACGAGCUCGCGGCCUAUUAGCUUGUUGGUGGGGUAACGGCCUACCAAGGCGGUGAUGGGUAGCUGGUCUGAGAGGACGAUCAGCCACACUGGGACUGAGACACGGCCCAGACUCCUACGGGAGGCAGCAGUUAGGAAUUUUCCGCAAUGGACGAAAGUCUGACGGAGCAACGCCGCGUGAGUGAUGAAGACCUUAGGGUUGUAAAGCUCUGUCGGAGGGGAAGAAAUAAUGACGGUACCCUCCAAGAAAGCCCCGGCUAACUACGUGCCAGCAGCCGCGGUAAUACGUAGGGGGCGAGCGUUAUCCGGAUUUACUGGGCGUAAAGCGCGUUAAGGCGGUUGGCAAAGUUGGUGGUGAAAUCUCAGGGCUCAACCCUGAAACUGCCUCCAAUACUGGUCAGCUAGAGUGCGAGAGAGGAAGGUGGAAUUCCCGGUGUAGUAGUGAAAUGCGUAGAUAUCGGGAGGAACACCAGUGGCGAAGGCGGCCUUCUGGCUCGUAACUGACGCUGUAGCGCGAAAGCGUGGGGAGCGAACGGGAUUAGAUACCCUAGUAGUCC
rnacentral:rRNA from 1 species